GCCGGGCUUGGUGGCUCAUGCCUGUAAUCCCAGCAGCUCAGGAGCCUGGGACAGGAGGAUCGAGAGUUCAAAGCCAGCCUCAGCGACUGCGAGGCACUAAGCAAUUUAGUGAGACCCUGUCUCUA
rnacentral:sRNA from 1 species